rnacentral:rRNA from 1 species
AAACUGAAUAAUCCUAUAACUAUAUAGGAGAUAUAAUGCUAAAACUAGUAACAAGAAGUAGACCUUCUCCAAAAUGCAAGCAAAAACCAACCCGGACUAACCAUUGGCUAUUAACGCCUAUGAAUUUAAUAUAGCAACUAACCCUAGCAAACUCUAUAUACCAUAACGUUAACCUUACACAAGAGCAUUCCUGGAAAGAUUAAAAGAAAAAGAAGGAACUCGGCAAAUUCAGGCCUCGCCUGUUUACCAAAAACAUCGCCUCUUGCUUUAACAUAAGAGGUCCAGCCUGCCCAGUGACACAAUUAAACGGCCGCGGUACCCUGACCGUGCGAAGGUAGCAUAAUAACUUGUUCUUUAAAUGGGGACUAGCAUGAACGGCACCACGAAGGCCUCACUGUCUCCUUUUUCUAAUCAGUGAAACUGAUCUCCCCGUGAAGAAGCGGGGAUAAUAAUAUAAGACGAGAAGACCCCAUGGAGCUUUAAACCCAGCAAGCAACCCUAAUCUACAUAACCCAUCUAAAUUAUUUACUCCCCUGCUUCCUGGUUUUAGGUUGGGGUGACCACGGAGUAAAACACAUCCUCCAUGACGUACGAGAUUAACCCUUAUCCAAGAGCUACUUCUCUAAGAAUCGAUAAAUCGACGUUUUAUGAUCCAAUGUAUUGAUCAACGAACCAAGUUACCCUGGGGAUAACAGCGCAAUCCAUUUUAAGAGCCCCUAUCGACGAAUGGGUUUACGACCUCGAUGUUGGAUCAGGGUACCCAAGUGGUGCAGCCGCUACUAAUGGUUUGUUUGUUCAACAAUUAAAACCCUACGU